UGCAAUGAUGCAAUGAAGGUGAUGUUC
rnacentral:piRNA from 1 species